AUUGAACGCUGGCGGCAGGCCUAACACAUGCAAGUCGAGCGGAGCUGCGGACGGGUGAGUGAUGCCUAGGUAUCUGCCUGGCAUUGGGGGAUAACGUCCGGAAACGGGCGCUAAUACCGUAUCCUAUCAGCUGAGCCUAAGUGGGAUUAGCUAGUUGGAUGGGUAAAGGCCUACCAAGGCGACGAUCCGUAACUGGUCUGAGAGGAUGAUCAGUCACACUGGAACUGAGACACGGUCCAGACUCCUACGGGAGGCAGCAGUGGGGAAUAUUGGGCAAUGGGCGAAAGCCUGAUGCAGCCAUGCCGCGUGUGUGAAGAAGGUCUUCGGAUUGUAAAGCACUUUAAGUUGGGAAGCGGUACCAAAAGAGUAAGCACCGGCUAACUUCGUGCCAGCAGCCGCGGUAAUUC
rnacentral:rRNA from 1 species